UACAGAGGGGGCAAGCGUUGUUCGGAUUCAUUGGGCGUAAAGGGUGCGUAGGUGGCGCGCUAAGUCAGGUGUGAAAUUUCGGAGCUUAACUCCGAAACUGCAUUUGAUACUGGCGUGCUUGAGGACUGGAGAGGAGACUGGAAUUCAUGGUGUAGCAGUGAAAUGCGUAGAGAUCAUGAGGAAGACCAGUGGCGAAGGCGGGUCUCUGGACAGUUCCUGACACUGAGGCACGAAGGCCAGGGGAGCAAACAGG
rnacentral:rRNA from 1 species